ACCUGCGUGACUGACAUAUAGAUCAUAAAAUAUUUCCAUACACCAAAUAUAGUUGAACUAUUGCAUAUAGUAUUAGAAAAAAAGACCAAAACUCAAAAACUUAACUUUGACCACUGAACCAUGAAAAUGAGGUCAAGGUCAGAUGACACCUGUCAGCUAGACAUGUACACCUUACAAUCAUUCCAUACACCAAAUAUAGUAGACCUAUUGCAUACAGUAUAAGAAAAACAGACCAAAACACAAAAACUUAACUAUAACCACUGAACCAUGAAAAUGAGGUCAAGGUCAGAUGACACCUGCCAGUUGGACAUGUACACCUUACAGUCCUUCCAUACACCGAAUAUACUAGACCUAUUGCUUAUAGUAUCUGAGAUAUGGACUUGACCACGAAAAC